AUUGAACGCUGGCGGCGUGCCUCAGACAUGCAAGUCGAACGAUUAAGACUUCCUUCGGGAAGUGUAUAAAGUGGCGCACGGGUGAGUAACACGUAAGUAAUCUACCUUCGAGUGGGGAAUAACAUCGGGAAACCGAUGCUAAUACCGCAUAAUGCAGCGGCAUCGCAAGAUGACAGUUGUUAAAGGAGCAAUUCGCUUGAAGAGGAGCUUGCGGCAGAUUAGCUAGUUGGUAAGGUAAUGGCUUACCAAGGCUACGAUCUGUAUCCGGUCUAAGAGGACGGUCGGACACACUGCCACUGAAUAACGGGUCAGACUACUACGGGAGGACGCAGUCGGGAAUUUUGGGCAAUGGGCGAAAGCCUGAUCCAGCAACGCCGCGUGAGGGAUGAAGUAUUUCGGUAUGUAAACCUCGAAAGAAUGGGAAGAAUAAAUGACGGUACCAUUUAUAAGCUCCGGCUAACUACGUGCCAGCCGCCGCAGUAACAC
rnacentral:rRNA from 1 species